rnacentral:lncRNA from 1 species
CCGCGACCGAGAUCGCCGCAACGCGUCACCAUCACCAUCAUCAUCACCGUCGGGUGUCAGUGUAAACACACCGGGGCGGCACCCCCCCUCCUCCCCUCCUCCCGUGCCCCGUUCUUCCAAGCGCGAGAUAUCGCGGGGUCCGCCCGCUCCGGAUCCGCGAUAUUCUCCGCACACUUUAGGGGACGGGUUUUUCGAAGACUUCGUCGUGAUUUCAAUCGUGACUUCGUCCAAACUCUUGAACGCAUCAUCGAUCGAGGAUCGCUGGAUCGCCGAUCCUGUUCUUCACCUUGCGAAUCGACUAAUCGGUCUUGGAUCUAUCGCGACUAUAUUUGCGCAUCACGAUUUUUCGCGAAUCGAUCUUUAUUCGUCUUACCAAUUUAAUCUGACCGAUUUAACUGAUCAGGGGGCUCUAUUUUCGAGACGGAACUUGGCGAACCGAGUGUUUUUCCGUUUGGCAAUUAAACAAUUUCAUUUCCUAAAUUACCGUCGAUUAUUCGAUGCUCUUUACAUAAGAUAAGAUAAUCGUACUUCUUCUCUUUCUCCGUUGAUAAGUGAGUUCAGUACCGGUUCUUAGCGAUAAACUGCUUUAAAAAGAUCACGAUACGUAACAGCGGUUGUCUCACCAGUUAAGAAUUAACACCCCGGUGUAAAUAAAAACAAUUCUCUCCGUGAGCUUCGGAGAUCGUGAUAUGAUAACUCGUGGUAUGAUGAACUAAAAUGGAAAAAUAUAAUAGAUUUUUUCACGAAUAGCUUGACGUAAUGUGAAAAUUGGAGUGAUUAUCGGAGGAUUGCCUGGUGUCGUUCACGAUUGAGCCUUGAAGGAGCCACAUACGAAGACAAGAGAAAUGGAGCAUUCCAAAACCACGCAUAUACAUGCAUUACACAUUGUAAUUAGUGCUUCUAAUAGCUUCUAAUAGAAUAAGUUCAUCAAAGAUGCACGCCAAGUUAUCCAUUGAUCCAGGCAAAUCUGGAGAUAAAGCGUUGGACAUUGGAAUGCACAAUAGAAUCAACCUGACCUCUCAACCACGAUAAGCGUUCACGUUGAACGUCUCGUGGUGUUGAAAUGUGAAUCACGCAUCAAUUAUCAAAGCGAUUUCUGAUUUGAUUAUGAAAGCCCGAAAGUAUCUUCGAAAAGUAAUCGAGGCGAAACUGAACGUAGAGACCAUAAAGCAAUGCUGUGUAGUUUGAAUUAAAUUCAACUAAUUUUUCUAGAAAUACAUGAAAAUUCUGUUAUUUUUUUCAUCCUCUGCUUUUUUUUAUUGCAUUUAUCAUUCAUCAUUUUUCGAUUUUGCUAAUUUUUGAUUGCACGCUUGCUUAGAGACGGAUAAAUUAUUUGGUAAAAAUAUUAAACAUGUAAACAUGUAAAAAGCGGAACAUAUUCAUGUAACGAGAUAAAAAACUCACUCUGUGAUCUAUUAAGUAUAAUAUAACGAACAAUCGACAGCCAUCAGUCUUGGAAAACUCGAGCACAUUUGAAACUUCAAUUAAUCCUUUAUUAUCUAUUGCGUGGCAACCACUGGAAAAGUUUUUAUGUAGCCGUUAUAAUAAACUAUAAUGAAUUCUA